GUCCUUUUGUAGUUCAUGAGCAUGAUGAUUGGGUGUUCAUGAGCACAUGUGAUAUAUGCCUCCCUCUGAACCUUGUUACGAUGUCGGUACAUUACCCAUCUGACC